rnacentral:lncRNA from 1 species
GCGCCGCUUUUACCACCCAAAAGAUACUUCUGAAGAGCUGCAGAAAGUUCCAUAGACAACUCCUCACCACCUCUGCCCUGCAUAAUUUAGACACAUUGGACAAGCUUAGCAAAAUAUAUUGAAAAACCCAGUGGCAAAAAACAAUUUCACACUGUAGAUAAUUAAAUAGUUAUCAUUAAGGGAAAAAAUCUAACAGUAAAGGAGGAAUGACG